rnacentral:sRNA from 1 species
GGCUUCAACAUCCCCGUUUUUUCAUCCCGUUUCAUCACGGUCAGGCUGCCGCUGUUCUGGCCUGCCGCAAGAAGCCAUUUCCCGGAUGGGGAGAGGCUGAAGCC